GAUCUCGCCCAGCACACUCUUGAACAAAUAAGAUGUCAAUUUUUGCUCUUCGAACUUGAGAAUCUUCUCCCAAGUUUGAGUCUUUCGAACUUGAUGAAGUGUUUCAUACUUGGUGAAUUUAUAAAAUACAUUUCCCUUCUUUUUCUUUUAUACCAAAAAUUUACUACCAUAUAUAGCUGUUCUUAUCAUUGUUGUGCCUCUCUUUCCGGUGGAAACGAUCCGCAACUUUUUUGCAGCGCUGUUCCUUGCGAGUAUUGGAAUGUUAAUACAUAUGCACUUCUUGUGGAACCAUGUUGACAUUCUGGUUGCAGCAGUGUUACUGGUGGUAGUGAUAAAGACUGGUAGUUGCAAUCGUUGUUAAAGUGUUCAGAUACAAUAACAAAACUGCAGUACUUGUCGGAAUGUCGCAAAUAAUCUUCACCGGCCGUUGUAUUUAGGAGUGCUCUUACGGUGGUUCUCUCCCGACAGCUCAACUGAGAUUGGGUUCAAAGGAGGUUUGUAUCGUUCAAAGAGUGCAAAGCUUAUAUCACAAAUGAUCCAAGAUUCUCUUUGUUACUACUUGUUUGUACUUCUUGUCUUAUGUCACAGACUUGUAAAGAAUCAACUUGUAUGCUUGUGUCUAUAUAACAAACACUCUGACUUUUAAAAACAACAACCACAAACACUCUUGCUUUCA